rnacentral:rRNA from 1 species
GACGUAGGGCGCGAGCGUUGUCCGGAUUUAUUGGGCGUAAAGGGCGCGUAGGUGGCGGGACAAGCGUGCGGUGAAAGCCUGGGGCUCAACCCCGGGUCGGCCGUGCGAACUGUUUUGCUUGAGCACUGUAGAGGCAGGCGGAAUUCCGGGUGUAGCGGUGGAAUGCGUAGAGAUCCGGAAGAACACCGGUGGCGAAGGCGGCCUGCUGGGCAGUAGCUGACACUGAGGCGCGACAGCGUGGGGAGCAAACAGG